GACGAACGCUGGCGGCGCGCCUAACACAUGCAAGUCGAACGAGCGAGAGAGAGCUUGCUUUCUUGAGCGAGUGGCGAACGGGUGAGUAACGCGUGAGGAACCUGCCUCAAAGAGGGGGACAACAGUUGGAAACGACUGCUAAUACCGCAUAAGCGCACGGUCCCGCAUGGCACAGAGGGAAAAGGGGCAGUCCGCUUUGAGAUGGCCUCGCGUCCGAUUAGCUGGGUGGUGAGGUAACGGCCCACCAAGGCGACGAGCGGUGGCCGGGCGGAGAGGCUGCACGGCUGCAUUGGGACUGCGGCACAGCCCAGUCUCCUACGCGGGGCAGCGGAGGGUAGUAUUGCACGAGGGGGGAAGAUCCGACGCAGCGGCGUCGGGGAGGAGGAGAAGCUGGUCGGAUUGUAAACUCGUGUGGUUGGAGGAGAUAAUGACGGUAACCAACAAGGAAGCAACGGCUAACUACGUG
rnacentral:rRNA from 1 species